rnacentral:rRNA from 1 species
AGAGUUUGAUCCUGGCUCAGGAUGAACGCUAGCUACAGGCUUAACACAUGCAAGUCGAGGGGCAGCAUGUCGGUUGCUUGCAACCGAUGAUGGCGACCGGCGCACGGGUGAGUAACGCGUAUCCAACCUACCCUUGUCCAUCGGAUAACCCGUCGAAAGGCGGCCUAACACGAUAUGCGGUUCACAGCAGGCAUCUAACGUGAACGAAAUGUGAAGGAGAAGGAUGGGGAUGCGUCUGAUUAGCUUGUUGGCGGGGUAACGGCCCACCAAGGCUACGAUCAGUAGGGGUUCUGAGAGGAAGGUCCCCCACAUUGGAACUGAGACACGGUCCAAACUCCUACGGGAGGCAGCAGUGAGGAAUAUUGGUCAAUGGACGAGAGUCUGAACCAGCCAAGUAGCGUGCAGGAUGACGGCCCUAUGGGUUGUAAACUGCUUUUAUAGGGGGAUAAAGUGUGCCACGUGUGGCAUAUUGCAGGUACCCUAUGAAUAAGGACCGGCUAAUUCCGUGCCAGCAGCCGCGGUAAUACGGAAGGUCCGGGCGUUAUCCGGAUUUAUUGGGUUUAAAGGGAGCGUAGGCCGUUUGGUAAGCGUGUUGUGAAAUGUCGGGGCUCAACCUGGGCAUUGCAGCGCGAACUGCCAGACUUGAGUGCGCAGGAAGUAGGCGGAAUUCGUCGUGUAGCGGUGAAAUGCUUAGAUAUGACGAAGAACUCCGAUUGCGAAGGCAGCCUGCUGUAGCGCAACUGACGCUGAAGCUCGAAAGCGUGGGUAUCGAACAGGAUUAGAUACCCUGGUAGUCCACGCGGUAAACGAUGGAUGCUCGCUGUUUGCGUCUGACGUAAGCGGCCAAGCGAAAGCGUUAAGCAUCCCACCUGGGGAGUACGCCGGCAACGGUGAAACUCAAAGGAAUUGACGGGGGCCCGCACAAGCGGAGGAACAUGUGGUUUAAUUCGAUGAUACGCGAGGAACCUUACCCGGGCUUGAACUG